rnacentral:rRNA from 1 species
GUCAAUGCUCGAAAGAGUGAACUAGCUAACUGAAAUCAAUUAAAAUAAUUGAUAAGAUAAGGGAAAAUAAUGAUAUUACCUUAUUAUUAGUGUCGUCCAAAUCUGGUGCCAGAAGACUCGGUAAGGCCAGAGACACAAACGUUAAUCGUCUUAAUCAGGCGUAAAGGGUUUGUAGGCGGCUUUAAAAUUUACUAAAAAACAAAAUAAACAAAACAAAUAAAUAAUAAACAACAAACAAAACAAAUAAUAAACAACAAAACAAAAUAAACAAAACAAAUAAAUAAUAAACAACAAAACAAAACAAAACAAAUAAAUAAUAAACAACAAACAAAACAAAUAAAUAAUAAACAACAAACAAAACAAAUAAAUAAUAAACAACAAACAAAACAAAUAAACACAAAUAAAUAAAAGUAAAAAAUAAAAGCUAGAAUCAAAUAGAGGAUAUAUUAAAGAAUGCUUAGAGUAGGUCUGAUAUCCAUAGAUACUAAGUGGAAUAUUAAAGGCGAAAGCUUUUUUCCAUUAAUGAUUGACGCUGAGAAACGAAGGGGAGGAUAGGAAAUAGGAUUAGAUACCCAGAAUACCCCUCUCUGUAAACGAUGAAUGGUAGUUAUUAGUAAAAAUAUUUUUUUUUUAAUGGCAAUGUUAACACGAUAACCAUUCCGCCUUGUGAGUACAACUGCAAAGUUGAAAACAAAAAAAUUAGUCGGUUUCGGAGCAAACGAAGUGAAGCAUGUUAUUUAAUUC